CGUCCCUUUUUUUUGGGGGUGGGGUUAGUGGCGAACGGGUGAGUAACACGUGAGUAACCUGCCCCUCACUUCUGGAUAACCGCUUGAAAGGGUGGCUAAUACGGGGUGUUCUGGCCUGCUCGCAUGGGUGGGUUUGGAAAGAUUCGACCGGUUUUGGUUGUUUUGGUGGGGGAUGGGCUCGCGGCCUAUCAGCUUGUUGGUGGGGUGAUGGCCUGCCAAGGCUUUGACGGGUAGCCGGCCUGAGAGGGUGGGCGGUCACACUGGGACUGAGACACGGCCCAGACUCCUACGGGAGGCAGCAGUGGGGAAUAUUGCACAAUGGGCGCAAGCCUGAUGCAGCGACGCCGCGUGAGGGAUGGAGGCCUUCGGGUUGUGAACCUCUUUCGCCAGUGAAGAAGGUCCUGCUCUUUGUGGUGGGGUUGACGGUAGCUGGGUUAAUGAAGCGCCGGCUAACUAC
rnacentral:rRNA from 1 species